UUCGCUUGUUGAUGGGUGUGCGGCUGAUUAGAUAGUUGGCGGGGUAACGGCCCACCAAGUCUACGAUCAGUAGCUGAUGUGAGAGCAUGAUCAGCCACACGGGCACUGAGACACGGGCCCGACUCCUACGGGAGGCAGCAGUAAGGAAUAUUGGACAAUGGACGCAAGUCUGAUCCAGCCAUGCCGCGUGAAGGAUUAAGGUCCUCUGGAUUGUAAACUUCUUUUAUAAGGGACGAAAAAAGGCUUUUCUAAGUCGUCUGACGGUACCUUAUGAAUAAGCACCGGCUAACUCCGUGCCAGCAGCCGCGGUAAUACGGAGGGUGCAAGCGUUAUCCGGAUUCACUGGGUUUAAAGGGUGCGUAGGCGGGCAGGUAAGUCAGUGGUGAAAUCCUAGAGCUUAACUCUAGAACUGCCAUUGAUACUAUCUGUCUUGAAUAUUGUGGAGGUAAGCGGAAUAUGUCAUGUAGCGGUGAAAUGCUUAGAUAUGACAUAGAACACCUAUUGCGAAGGCAGCUUACUACGCAUAUAUUGACGCUGAGGCACGAAAGCGUGGGGAUCAAACAGGAUUAGAU
rnacentral:rRNA from 1 species